rnacentral:lncRNA from 1 species
GUGAGAGUGGGUCUUGAACUUUAUCAAACAUUUCCUACUGUCUUGGUUAAAGGAGUAUCACAAUUUAAUUUUUUUUACUAUGAGUAAAAUGUGUUCAUUCCAGCUGUUACAUUGCAUAUGGAAAUGUUCAGAAUUCAGAUGUUUUGUCAAGUAAAGGAGAUGGGAGUGUUGGUUUAAUGAUGUUUGUCUUUUUUUUUUUUUUUUUUUUUUUUGGCCCUUAUUUUAAACACUAGUUUUCAAAGUUAACAGCCAUAGUCACCCUACUGUGCUUUUAUAGUUACUCUUCCUGCCCAGCCACAUUUCUGUUUUGUUAGCCGGCUGUCUCCUAGAUGUCCUUCCCAGCUGUGAUGACCCUUUUAAAAUUCUACAUCUAAAUGAGAAUACAGUAUUUAUGCUUUCCUCGUUUCACUACUUAAUGCCAUUCAGAAGAUUAGGUGUGCUUGUAAUCCCAGCACCUGGAAAGCAGAGACAGUUGGAUCUCUUGAGGCCAGCUUGGGCAGCCAGAGCUACAUAAUAAGACUCCAUCCAAAAAACCAAAAACCUAUCCAGGCUCACCCAUUUUGCCACAAAUGACAGGAUUUCAUGGGGUUUUGUGACUGAAUAAAUAUCUUGCUAGUGUGUAUAUGUCACAGUUUCUUUAGCCAUUCUUCAUUUUGGUAAAAACCUAGAUAGACCAGUUUCAUAUUUUUACUAUUCCUAGGAAGUUGGAUAAAUGGAUUCUAACUUUUUAAAUCAAGGAUACUUAUUUAAUCUGGGGUUGCAUACAUGUGCCAUGGUGCAAAUGUAGAGGUCAGGGGACAACUUGGGGGACUUGAUUCUCUCCUAUGUGGGUUCCAACUCGGAUUAUCUGGCUUGAAGACAGCCGUCACCUGCUCAAGCCACCUUACUGGCCCCAUUGAAUCUGAAGUUUAAUUGUGAAAUCAAAAGACUUAAAAUAGCGAGUUCAACAGACUAUGAACCUACAAAAGAGGCUAACAGAAUAUGAGGGGCUGGAGAGAUGGCUCAGCAGUUAUGAGCACUGGCUGCUCUCACAAAUGUGGGCUUCAUACCCAGCAUGUAUAUAGCAACUCACAAUCCUCUGUAAUUGUAGAGUAGUGGCUCUCAACCUUCCUAAUGCUGUAAACCUUGAAUACAGUUUCUCACGUUGUGAUGACCACACACACACAUAUAAAAUUAUUUCAUUACUACUUUAUAACUGUAAGUUUGCUAGUUAUGAAUUGUAAUGUAAAUAUCUGAUAUACAGGAUGGCUGAUAUAUAGUUCCCAUGAAAGGGUCAGUUGAUCCUCCCAAAGUGGUUGCAACCCACAUGUAGAAAAACACUGCUUUAUCUGAUCAUAUACUCAUGCAGGCAAAUUCAACAAGUCUUAAAAGAAAACCAGAGAUCUUAAGCAUUCUGCCUCAAGUUCUGCUUAUUCACCCAGCUUCUGAUACCAACAGAUAUGUGCUAUUUUUAAAUAUGGUCAGAGAAGCUUCUUAUUACAGAGUAGAAGUUAAUGUAGAGAUCCAUUAGCUAUUCAAGUGCUGAGAAUAAGGGUCUGUGACUACUUAUCAGCUAUAGAUAGAAUAUGUGUAGUAUCAACCAAGUUCCCAAGGCUCAAGAACACUGAGGAAAAUGGAGAAAGGAUUUAAAAUCAGAACGGAAGGAGAGUGUGAGACACUGAUCUCUGGACAUGGCAUAGCUGCUACAUGCAUGAAUUUAUUACAGUGUGGAUACCAGUGUAAGAUAAAGAAUAAAAUUGUAGCAUUGGAGCUGGAGAGAAGGCCCACUGGAAGAGCAUUGGUUGCUCUUCCAUGCCAUCGCUGGGAUUCUUUUCCCAGCAGCUAUGUGGCUUAUAACCAGAUGUUUUUCCAAUCCCAUGGGACCCUAAGCCCUCUGUUGGCCUCCACCAACACUUCAUUCACUGUGAGUGUGUUUGUACAGGCAAAACACCCGUGCACUUAAAAUUCCACCUGGGGGAGUGGGGAGGGCUCUGGGUACUUCACUCAGCUGAGGGGCUAAUGACAGUUGAUGACUAGUGAGGGAAUGAAAUUAUAGAUAAUGAUAAUGGAGGAUACAAAAUACAAAACUUUGAAAAGUCACUUUUUUGAGGGGCAGGGUUUAGUAGGUUCCCCAAAUCUCAGUGUAAGACUUCACAUAAGUAUGCAUAAUUGGACUUACUGAAUUAAAAGCAACUUUUAAGAGACAUGAAGAUAAGAGAUGGAAGGAAAGUGAUGGGAGCUAGCAGGGGAUGGAUAAAAACCAAGAUAUAGUAUACCAUGUAUGAGAUUGUCAAAAGUAAGUUUUUCUCUCUUCAGUCUACCUGUUACUGUUUACAAGAAGUAAGAGGAGGAAAGAAAAUUUGGUUGACCUUUGGAUUGGUGUUGACUUUAAAAUAAAACACCAAAGCCUGAUUCAUAAAAGAGAGUUGGAAGUUGGACCUCACAGAAAUAUCUGCUUCAUCUGGGUAGUGGUGACACAUGCCCUUAAUCCCAGCACUCAAGAGGCAGAAGCAGGCAGAUUUCUAUGAGUUUAAGGGCCAACCUUGUCUACAGAGUGAGUUCCAGGAUAGACAAAGCUACAUACAGAGAAACCCUGUCUGAAAAAAACCAAAAUGAACAAAAGGAAAAAUAACAUACUCUGCUCAGUGAAAGAUGCUUAAGAAAAUGAAGACAGUUGGAGAUAGUAAUACAUGCCUCUAAAGGCAGGGGUGGGAGGAUGAUCCUUGUGAGUUUGAGGCCACUCUGCUCUACACGUCAAUUUCCAACCAGGGCUACAUAAGCAGUCUCAAUCGAACAGAAUCGGAGGUCAAGCCAUGGGCUAGAAGACACUUUCAAAACAACAGUGUACCAUUGCAUACCUAUUACAAUGUCAAAAAGGAAAUACUGAUGACAUGCUGGCCAUGGUGUAGUGCCAGCUGAAGCCAGAAGAGAGCAUUGGAUUCCCUGGAAUAAGAGUUGUGGGCCACUGUGUUGAUGCUGUCAAUUGUCCCCUGGAAAAGCAGCUACUGUUCAGAACUGCUAAGCCAUCUCUCCAGCCACGUUUGCUGUUUUUGAUUAUAGAAGUUGUAUUCCUAAUAAACAGUUCAGAAAAAUGGUUCAGCAAGAUGCCUCAGUGGAUGGCCAAUAAAUGGGAAAUAU